UUUCCUCACCCCACCGCCGGUGGGGAAGGGUGGGGCUGUGGGCUAUGUCCUCUCUCCCAGCACAGCUCCAUUUUCCAUAUGUGUGGGGGUUUGACACCCCGGGCCCUGUAGGAAGCUGAGGGCUACCUUGGAGCCGCCCUGGAAGGUUCCAGGAUCCAGGGCUCUCUAGGUGGCCAUUCCCUAGGAAGAUGUCCAACUGUAACCCCAAAGAAACUUGCCCCAAGGAGUGCUUCAAGGUUUUAUAGUGACACUGAAUAUAAUCCAGAAUCCCG